rnacentral:rRNA from 1 species
GAUGAACGCUGGCGGCGUGCCUAAUACAUGCCAGUCGAGCGAACGGACGAGAAGCUUGCUUCUCUGAUGUUAGCGGCGGACGGGUGAGUAACACGUGGAUAACCUACCUAUAAGACUGGGAUAACUUCGGGAAACCGGAGCUAAUACCGGAUAAUAUUUUGAACCGCAUGGUUCAAAAGUGAAAGACGGUCUUGCUGUCACUUAUAGAUGGAUCCGCGCUGCAUUAGCUAGUUGGUAAGGUAACGGCUUACCAAGGCAACGAUGCAUAGCCGACCUGAGAGGGUGAUCGGCCACACUGGAACGGGGCCACGGUCCAGACUCCUACGGGAGGCAGCAGUAGGGAAUCUUCCGCAAUGGGCGAAAGCCUGACGGAGCAACGCCGCGUGAGUGAUGAAGGUCUUCGGAUCGUAAAACUCUGUUAUUAGGGAAGAACAUAUGUGUAAGUAACUGUGCACAUCUUGACGGUACCUAAUCAGAAAGCCACGGCUAACUACGUG